UGUACUAACCAGUUCAUCUAAUCUGCAGAACAUACUUGAAAUUCCCAUUGAGGCCUCUCAUUUCAAUCGACGGAAGCACAGUCUAUGAAUUAGAUAACAAGUUUAAAAUUGUUAGGCAUGCUGAGAGCUGGAAUGUUUCUGCACUUGAAGCUAUUGGUCAGAUAUUCACCCCAAGCUUUGAUAGACCUGGUGAAUGAAUUUGAGAAAACGUCUGGAAAUCUAAAGCUGAUGUAAUCAGAUCUCUGCAGUUUGAUUAAAAAGUUGUAGACUUUCGUAUGGAUUAAGUUAGCAACCAUCAUCCUGUCUGCUCAAAGCAACUCAGCAGUUGGAUGGAAAAGAAAUGAAAUGAGUUCCGGGACUUGAACCCGGGUCUCUCGGGUGAGAGCCGAGUAUCCUAACCCACUAGACUACAACUGAUCCUGCUUGCCCUCCUCUGGCAACUAUAAUACAUCUGUUAUUGAUAUUGCAUGAUUU